CUUGCCUCAGCCUCCCAAAUUACUGGGAUUACAGGUUUCUGUCCCAAGUAAGCAUCAUAUUUCCAGACCCAGGUUGGACUGUUCAUCACUUGAAGAUCAAUACUUGGGAGCUGAAAUUUGUGAGAAUGAAAUUGGUUUCAUUCAAGGGCUGGCAUCUUGAGAAGAAAGGAUCCUGAUAAGACACAGUGGGGCACUCAGAAAUGCAGAGGAUUAGAGAAUAAGGAGAGGUGUUACACAUUCUGAUAUUUAUCCGAAAUUCAACAGAUGUUCUGGGUUCUGAAAAUCUAAAGAAAGAUGAUUUAGCAGGAAACAUCUUAAUCAUUAGGCGCUGCUUUUCUUUAGAAUUUAGAAUGCUGGGCAAAGGGAGGAGAAGCAAAAGUAAUUCUACCAAGGACAACUCCCAAAGGAGUGGCCAUGGUUACCCUGAGAAAAGUUAGAGGGAAAUUAUUUAUCACCCACUACAUGAAUAAUGGUGGUUCCUUAAUUUACUUUUCUGUCUCUUUAUUUCUUAUCCUUGAAGGCAAUCACUUGCAACUUUCCCAACUCCUUCCAUUUUUUCCCCCUGGUAUUUAACUUUUCCAAAAAUAAUUAAUACUGCAUUUCUAAGGAAUAUCUACCUACUUCUACUUCUCCACUUGUUCGUUUCAGAUAGUAGCAAUUGUUGUCCUCUUAUGGCAGAUGAAGAUUUAUCUGUCUUAACAUCCUCACUUUAUUCUUUAUUCUCUGUCUUCACAUAGCUGUCAGUAAAAUUACAUUAUGCUUUUAAAAAUUAGUCUGUAUUUAGAGAGUUUGUGUUAGUGCUAUGGAAAUAUUACUGAAUCAGGAACAUUCUGCCCACCAUGCAGUAGGCUGAUCAUUGAAGUCAAGAGUUUUGCAAAAGACAGAGAGUUUAUUCAUGAAGUGGUUCAAUGUCAGGAGGCAGGAGCCCCAAGUUCCUAAUAAUGACUCAGGCAAUGGUUGCCAUUGUGAACCAUACACCAGAGAUGUAAUCUGCAGCAAAGCUAAUGGGAAUAUUCUGCUUAGUUACUUGCCCUCUAAGAUUGGUAAUAAAAGCAAAUGAAACUA